rnacentral:rRNA from 1 species
CGCGGCCUAUCAGCUUGUUGGUGAGGUAAUGGCUCACCAAGGCGACGACGGGUAGCCGGCCUGAGAGGGCGACCGGCCACACUGGGACUGAGACACGGCCCAGACUCCUACGGGAGGCAGCAGUGGGGAAUAUUGCACAAUGGGCGAAAGCCUGAUGCAGCGGCGCCGCGUGAGGGAUGACGGCCUUCGGGUUGUAAACCUCUUUCAGCAGGGAAGAAGCGAAAGUGACGGUACCUGCAGAAGAAGCACCGGCUAACUACGUGCCGGCAGCCGCGGUAAUACGUAGGGUGCGAGCGUUGUCCGGAAUUAUUGGGCGUAAAGAGCUUGUAGGCGGUUUGUCGCGUCUGCUGUGAAAAUCCGGGGCUCAACCCCGGACUUGCAGUGGGUACGGGCAGACUAGAGUGUGGUAGGGGAGACUGGAAUUCCUGGUGUAGCGGUGAAAUGCGCAGAUAUCAGGAGGAACACCGAUGGCGAAGGCAGGUCUCUGGGCCACUACUGACGCUGAGAAGCGAAAGCAUGGGGAGCGAACAGGAUUAGAUACCCUGGUAGUCCAUGCCGUAAACGUUGGGCGCUAGGUGUGGGACUCAUUCCACGAGUUCCGUGCCGCAGCUAACGCAUUAAGCGCCCCGCCUGGGGAGUACGG